AUCGGCUCUGAAGGUUCACAAAUUCGGGUUUGGUUUGAGAUUUUGUUGAUUUCGAAAGUUGGAUCCUUUACUGCUCGAAAAAGUCAGACAAACAGUGGUUUGCUUCAAUAGGAAUGGA